UACGUAGGGACCGAGCGUUGUCCGGAUUCAUUGGGCGUAAAGAGCUCGUAGGCGGCCACUCAAGUCGAAUGUGAAACCUCGAGGCUUAACCUCGAGCCUGCAUUCGAUACUGGGCGGCUAGAGUCUGGUAGGGGGAUCUGGAAUUCCUGGUGUAGCGGUGAAAAUGCGCAGAUAUCAGGAGGAACACCAGUGGCGAAGGCGGUGCUCUGGGCCGGAACUGACGCUGAGGAGCGAAAGCGUGGGGAGCAAACAGG
rnacentral:rRNA from 1 species